UACGUCUAGCAACGAAGGAGGCCGUGACUGGGUGACUUCCGUUAGCAGUUUCCUAGCAACUGAUCACAGCUUGCAAAUGUCUUCCAUAGUAUGUAAGAUAUGAGGUUUCUUCAUCGUCUUCCAUAGUAGUUCUGUAGCUUGGGUGCGUCGGAAGGGUCGGAAGUAAGUCUGCAAGGUCUGCAAUGAUGGGUGAUGAACAAGUUUUAAGAAGGAUACCGAGAACCUUUGCGCCGACUAAAGGUGACAGAUGCAAAGGCGAGCAGAAAGAGUUCGAAGAAAUGAUGGAAAAAGUAGAAGAAAAUAACGGAAGAAAAAGAAGGAGAAUCUUGGGGUACGCAUUGAUGUUAAUGCUAGCAGCCGUAUUCUCUGCAUGGGCUUCGUCACUCUUUAUACCUGUAGAGAGAGAAUUAGUUUACUGAAAACUGCAUUUGGCAUCUGAACUGAGUUUUACAGCCCACAUUACCAGUUCUUUGUUAGGAAAAACAACUCUGAGGAAUACUGUUGAAGAAACCUGCACUGUAUUGUGGGAAGUCCGAUCAGUCAACCCAGCUUGGACGUCUCUCCCAUCUGGACUCCCAUUAUCGCAGCAGAAGUCAGAAAACUACAACUCCGACCUGUGUAGAUUAUGUGUGAAAACUGUUUUUUUAUGUUGGUACCAUACAGAGAAUUUCUCUCUUUAGUGAUGAAUUCUAUUCUGAUAGAACUGUGAUUAUAAGAACAAUAGCCAUGAAACAGUGCAUGGACAUACUCGUAGGCGCUAGGUCUCAUGUAUGUGGAGUUUUUAAAUGUUUUUAAUAUUUGUCCUAAUUCUCACAGAUAGUUUGUGCUGUGCUUAGUUUAUAUAUCCUGUGUUGGUGCUUUUGUGUGGAGAUAGGGACCAGCUCUGUCAAUUGGACCCAACUGAGUAUGUUACACCUGAAGGCAGAUACAGAACUGUCUCCAAAAUAUUGUGUGUUUCAAAUAAAAACAGGAUGAUGGAUAAUGUCCAGAAACGCA